rnacentral:lncRNA from 1 species
UGACGAACAAGCAUUUUUCAAUUAAUGAGCAUGUUCUUUGGUCAGGUACAUCUUCACAUGAAUUUUGUGACCUCAACGUUUGUUAUUCGACCGAACAUAAAGUCACAUUCAUGUUCAUGUUGAAUUUAUGCACAUUUGUUCAUAAGUACAUUUGCAUAACAACUGCUUCAUUGAAUAAACUUUGUUCAUUCGUGAUUGAAUUGUUCAUGCAUGUUGUUCGUGUGCAUAAAAUAAAUGUAGAUUGUUAUUGAUUACAUUAGUUUGUGCUUUGAAAAAUUUUGAUCUUACCUUUUAUCCAUGACUGUAUUGAAAUAUGAACAGUCAUUUUCCAAUUAAUGAAUAUAUUUUUGGUUAUGAAUUCCAAACAUGGAACGUCAUUUAUAAAACACUUAAAAAAAUUACAAGGAGAAGUAUUUGAUAUUGCUUAACAAUGGUGCAUAACCAAAUGUAUGCACAUUUUUUUCAUAAGUAUAUGUGAGCAAAGUAGAACAAUUAAAAAUGAAUAAACUUUGAUUUCAACUACCAAAUGCAAUCAUAAGUCUGUGCUUUAUUGAAAUAUGACAUAAAACAUGGAGUAGUAUUUUUUGGAAGUUUAUAACUUGUUCAUAUUACUGACUUGUCUCAUCCAAACAAGACAUAGUUAGCAUUGAAGUUACUAUUCUUGCACAACUCCCGAUAAUGUGUAGAUGCACAUUUCAGCAGCCCUCCCCUCACAUCAUUGUACUCGCAACUUAAAUCGUGCCACAAUAUCUAACUCGGCUCAUAUCACGUGGAGACGACGACGACAUUCCACACUUCCAACUUGUUGAUCCACCGCCCAUAAAAGUCUCCAAAUGGCGCAUGAGGUAUAACCCCGUGUCUAUUGUAUUCUUGUUGUCUACCCAUUUCAUAUUUACAUGUUGCAUUUGCGCUCUUGAUAUCGUGUUUGCCUUUGCGAAUUUCUGAUGGUCCAAAAGAUACUAUGACAACAAAAAACACUAAAAAACCACACAUGAUUAAAAUAUAUAAAAUUAUACAUGAACAUCGAAUGUAUAUUAAGGCGAAUAUAUUCUUACCUUCAAGCAGACAUGAAAAACAUUAUGAAAUCCAACUCUUACCAUAUUCAUUGUCGACGUUAGACAUGAAUAACGCAUAUUAUAUUCACAAACACUAUAUUCAUAGACAACCCCACAUCAUAUUCACACAUUCAAUUAGCACAAACAAAAUCUUACACUAACAAACAUUACUCAUAUUCACAUUAUAAUAAUAUGAAAAGAAUAAUAAUGAUCAAUGAAUGGUAUAUUUAUAUUUAGUAAAGCCUAAAACAUUCCCACAAAAAAAUGCAUGAGCAUACGAACGACCUGUAACCACUUGUCAUGUUCAUAUCCAAAUAAAGAGUUGAACAAAACAUAUUGUCAAAGUAAGUUCUAUGUUCACAUGAACAACAAAAAUGAAUAACAAAAUAGACAAAUGAACAUGAAAAUAUGACAUUUUGUCAGAAAUAAAUUAUAUGUUCACAUGAAUAACAAAUAUGAACAACAAAAUAGACACAUGAACACGAAAAUAUGGCAUUUUGUCAUAAAUAAGUUCUAUGUUCACACGAACAACAAGCAUGAACCAUGUUGUGAUUAGUAUUACUACUAUAGUAUGAUUGAACAAACCCGUGAAAAUCACAGAAAAUCGAAAAAAAAUCGUCGUCGAAAAUCACACAAGAAAUUGCCAUAUCUAUUCCCCACCAAGCCGGAAACCACACAAACUAUACCAACCAAAUCCUAGUGUCCAUGGAAAAGUACAAAAAGUUUUCACAAAUAUAGAUUGAAUAAAGCUCAUUCGUUGGAGAAUGUCAUAAAAUCGCAGAAACCCACCCACAUAAUAUAUUCACGCUUGAACAAACCCGACGGAAAUCUCACAAAAUCGAAGAAAAUCGUCGCCGGAAACCACACAAUAAAUUCUCCAAUCGAUUCCCCACCAAGUCGAAAAUUACACAAACUAACACCACCAAGUCGGUAUUCGUCGAAAAGAAGAUUUAAACAGAAAAAAUCGUGGAAUCCCUUAAUAUGGCACUCACCUUCGUCAAUGGUGGUGAUGUUCACCGGACAACGAUCCCAAUUGGGCGAGAAACUUCUGGUUUGGUGGUAGAUGAACAAUUCUUUCUCUCUAAAGAAUGAUCGACGGUGAUAGCUAGAGUAGAGGUGAAAAAACUGCAUGCAUUAAUUAAAUCACUUUUGAUUUCUAUCCAAUUUAGUAAGACACGUCAAUUAAGGGAUUUCUUCAAAUCUUGAUUAACAUCCAUUAUUUGACUUUUAACUAAUACCUUAUAUGCCCUUAUUCACACAAUUCGACUGAUAUGUUAUAUAUUGUAAUACUCCCUCCGUCCACAUGAUACAUUUUCAUUCUCCGUCACUCAAUCAAGGGCUUAAGAAUAUUUAUAUAGAUUUUAAAAGUCUAGGUGUAUUCGUUCCAGACUUUUAAAAGUCUGCAGAAAUCUGGGUGUAUUUGUUUAAGACUUUUAAAAAUCCAUAUAAAUCUGGGUGUAUUCGUUUCAGACUUUUUAAAAUCCAUACAAAUCUAGGUGUAUUCGUUAUUCCAUUGACUUAAAAUCCGGAAUGACUUUCAUGGAUUUCAUCCAAAAAAUACACACGACGAAAUCCGGCCAAGAACCACGAGAAUUGAAAUCCAUGAAAUUUUAAGCGAGCGCUGAGUUCCAGCGCCCGCGGCCAAGAAGCCAGCGAGCGCCGGAACUCAGCAUCCGUUGAGAAAGUCCAGCGCUCGCUGGGUUUGAGCGGGCGCUGGGUUCCUAGCGGCCGCUGGGUUGUCGCGGUCGUUGGGCCCAGUGCAUAAACUAAUAAUGCCACAAGGGAACAAAAUAGUAACCAGGUAUUCAUUGCAAAAUAGUCCAGCAAGCGCUGGGAACAAAUAGUCAGGAGCUGGAGGUUUAAUAAGUAUGGAGGAGCGCUUGGUUCUAAUGAUUGUUAGUUUCUAGCGCAAGGAGCUUGGCAGGUAGUGUUGCUAAAAGGUUGUUGCAUUCAAUGCAUACUUGGCUCGUAUAGAUGCAAAGGAAGGACGUGACAUGCGAUGGCUGCGCAUGUCAGUUAUGACCAUAAUCUCAAUAGUUCAGGUAUUGCUUCCUGAUGUAACUUUUAAUGACUUGUCAAAACAAAUUUCUCACAUGGUUUAUGCAAAUGAAUACCUAGUUACUAUUUUGUUCCCUUGUGGCAUUAUUAGUUAUGCUGCCACAUCUCUUACUUAUAGACAGCAAGGACUGUAUUUUCCAAGUGUUUGCGGUGACUAUUUUAUUCCCAGCGCUCGCUGGAACUCAGCGGUCGCUGGGUUUCCAGCGGUGCUGGGACUCAGCGGGCGUUGGUUUCAUGGAAUUCAAUUCCAAAAUUAUCCCGUAAAGUCUUCGAAAAUAAGUGAAAAUCGGGGUGAAAUCCAACCACGAAUUCUUUGAAAGUCGUCUGGAAUCUAUGUGAAUUCCAUGGAAUUUAAAUUCCAUGGACUUUUUAAAGUCUGUGGAAAUCCACAACGAAUACACCCCCCUAAGUCUCGUCUCAUGAAGCCGGAUAAUUAACUAAAAUUAAUCUGCCAUCUUAGGGUGUUCUAACCCACCAAAUACAUAAAUCUCGCUCGAUAUAGCCGAUUAAAAGGGGCAGUUAAACUGAACAUUCGACAUAUGAUCUCGUAAGAAUUAAUCGAGCUUAAUAAAUAUGAACGAAAAUAAUAAUAUAAGUUCAAAUAAUUAAAAGGCUCAACAUAAGACAACCUAAUAAUUAAUUAAAUGAAAGUGGGCAUGAAAGGAAUAAUGAAAAACCCAACUGAAAUAAUCAUCCAGCCCAUUCUACUCAAUUAAAAUCGGCCCAAUUAAAAAAAAUAGCCCAAGCCCAAAACACUUAAAAUCUGCAGCCCACAUAAAAAGAAGGCCCAACUUUCAGGCCAAAGGAAAAGGAGCCCAAUUCAAUUAAAAGAGAAAGCCCAAGCUUCCUCCUCCCCUCUCAAACGAUUCUCUCUCUCUCUCAAGCCAGACGCUCGGUUCUAGGGGUGGCACGGUACGGUAUACCUUAUUAAAUCGACCAUACCUUAUACCUUACCUUUACCUCCGGUAUGGAGAAAAUUCAUACCUUUACCUACGGUAUACCUUAAGUACGGUAUGGAGAAUAUACAAAAUCUUUACCGUACCUUUAUUUCAGUAUACCUUACCGAAUUUCGGUAUAACGUACUUUCACGGUAUACCGCACUUUAACGGUAUACCAAAAUAAUCAGUAUUAUCAAAAUCGAAAAAAUUCAAUUGGUAUACCGUACUUUAUAUUCGCAUACUUGUAUGCAUUCAUGUAAUAUAUAAUAAAUUAUAUAAAUGUUAUAAGUUACAUAUAAUUUAUAUGUUCGAAGUAAUAUUAUUUAUAAUAUAAUACUAAUAUUAUAACUGUGCUAUUAUAUAUGUAACUAUUAUAAGUUAGAUGUAUAAUUUAUUGUAAAACAAUAAUUUUAGUUAUAUAUUAUAACUAUACUAUAAUAUCAAAAUAAAUAAUUUUAUUUUAUUGUAUAACUUAUACUAUAUACUAUAUUUUAUUUGUUUUUUUAUGCUCUCUCUCUCGUGAGUCAAAGUGGGUGGCCGCCCACCAGCUUUGAUAUUUCCGUUUCGCGCCGCUGACCGGCGCUGCACACCCGCGCGCAGUCGGAUCCCGGCCACCAGACCUUGACGCCUCUCUUCACGGUCUGCCGCCACCGAAGGAAGAUCCGGCGCGACUUGCAGAUCGGCAGCAGCGGCGAACGGCAGAACGAGCAGCAGCGGCGACCGGCAGCGCGGCGACUUGCAGAUCCAGCAGCAGCGGUGACCGGCGAUCCAGCAGCAGCAGCGACUUGCAGAGCGGCGACCAGCAGUCCAGCCGCAGCGGCGACUUGCAGCGCGGCGACCGGCAGAUCCAGCAGCAGCGGCGACUUGCAGAGCGGCGACCGGUGCAGAGCAGCAGCGCGGCGACCUGUGCUCCAGCAGCAGCAGCGCGGCGAAGGCCCGGCGUUGACUACGCCACCACCCCGACGCAGCUCGCCGCACGCCGGAACCGGUCUCUCCAAAUCAGCUCCGCCUCCGGAAGGCCUUCUGCGUCGGAGAUCAGCCAUGGUUCUUUCGCCGACGCCGCUCUCCGGCGCCGCUAAGAGAACUGCUUCCUCUCUGUCGCAGACUGCUUCAGGAGCCCGUGGUUUUCCUGAGAAACCUGAUAGCCUUCGCCUGCCACAAAUCUCAAACAACUUUUAUCAACAGCCGAGGGAUUUGGAGCAUGGGAAUUUGAAACUUGUUGAGGUUUGUUUAUCGGAUAAUCCAUCAGGAUCUGGAACUACCUCUACAAUUCCGUCUAAAGGACAGCUUCGGUGCCUAACUUCACAAAACAGCCGCCACCAGAGGGUAGGGUUUCAUACGCCUCGAUCAUGCAACAACGGGUUGAUCGACCUCCAGAUUUACCAGCACAUAAAUUCUCAGCUCUUAAGGCUGAGAAACUCGCCGAUGGGUUCUCUCUCACCAUUCCGAAACAGAUGUAUCAAAAACGUAUUGCUGAAUUCGAAUUCUCUGUUAUUGGAAGGGUAUUACUACGGAAAGGAAGCAAGCCACAGGCGACACAUCAGUUGAAGCUUGAACUCAACAAUUUGUGGGGUAUCCAAUCAGAGUGGAACCUUCUCACUCUGNCCGGUAUUUGUAUUCUCAAUUUUCCGUACGGUAUUUUCAAUUCACCCGCAAGUAUUCUCAAUUUAACCCAACGGUAUUCUCAAUUUUUCGGAUUUGUAUUCUCAAUUUUUCCGUACGGUAUUUUUAAUUUACCCCGUAGGUAUUCUCAAUUUAACCCGGCGGUAUUCUCAAUUUCCCAGCGAUAUAAGAAUCUUGAUUUGAUUAGUGAUUCACUAAUCUAAUCUAAGAUUCUUUGUAAGAAUCUUAGAAUUAUAACAUAAAAAUCUUUAUUUGAUUAAUGAUUCACUAAUCUAAUAUAAGUUUCUUAGUAAGAAUUCAAGAUUCUUAGUAAAAAUCUUAGAAUUAUAUCAUAAGAUUCAUAUUAAAAAUAAAGAUUCAUAGUAGGAAUGUUGAUUAGAUUAGUGAUUCACUAAUUUUAUCUAAGAUUCUUAGUAAGAAUCUUAGAUUAUGAGUAAGAACUCAAGAUAUUCUUAGUAAGAAUCUUAGAAUUAUAACAUAAUAUUCUUAUUAAAAAUCAAGAUUCUUAGUAAGAAUGUUGAUUUGAUUAGUGAUUCACUAUUAUAACUUAAAAUUCUUAUUAAAAAUCAAGAUUCUUAACAAGAAUGUUGAUUUGAUUAGUGAUUCAUUAAUCUAAUUCAAGUAAGAUUCUCAUCAAAUUGAUUAGGAGAUUUUAUAAUUCAAGUAAGAUUCUCAUCAAAUUGAUUUGGGACUUCACUAAUUCAAGUAAGAUUCUCAUCAAAUAGCUUUGGGGCUUAUCUGAUUCGAGUAAGAUUUUCAUCAAAUUGAUUUGGGGCUUCAAUAAUUCAAGUAAGAUUCUCGUCAAAUUGAUUUGAGAUUUCACUAAUUUAUUUUGGUAGUGGUAACCCCAUUUGUAAGUGCAAUUGGAUAUUGAAGUGGAAAUUUUCUACUUCCUCCGGGUAAAUUAAAAAUACCGUCCGGGUUUAAAUUGAGAACUACCUACGGGUAAAUUGAAAAUACCGUCAGGAAAAUUGAGAAUAUCGCCGGGAAUUGAGAAUACCGCCGGGUUAAAUUGAGAAUACCUACGGGUAAAUUGAAAAUACCGUCGGGUUAAAUUGAUAAUAUAUACCUACGGGUAAAUUGAAAAUACCGUCGGAAAAAUUGAGAAUACCGCCGGGAAAUUGAGAAUACCACCGAGAAAAUUGAGAAUACCAUCGAGUAAUUGAGAAUACCGCCGACUAAGUUGAGAAUACCGUCGAAAAAAUUGAGAAUACCGUCGAGAAAAUUGAAAAUACCGUCGGGACAAAUAUUUUCUAACAAAUUAGGCAUCAUUUUCAUAAUUGUAAUUAUUAUUCUUUAUUUGACACUAAAUUGGUGGGGAACAUAUUUUAAAUUUAUGUUUUAAUGCGUGUGUGUAUCUACAUAAAAUUAUGUUUUAAUGUGUGUGUGUCUAUAUACAAUUCUAUAUAAUGUGUGUGUGUCUUUAUUUCAAAUUAAAUAUAACCUUUAAUUUAAGAUUCAUAUUGAAAAAAUAAAGAGUGAAACAACAUUAUUUUGGAAGAGAAUUGUAUUAUAAUCUAUAUAGCAUCUUUAUAUUACAUUAUUUUUUCCAUAAAAAUAUUUCAAUAUUCCUAUUAUAUUAAAAUUCCUGAAAAAAAUAAUUAAAAAUAAAAAUGUGACAAUUUAAUAAUCCUCAAUUUCAUAAACCCCCCAUUGCAUUUACACUAAUCUUACUUCAAUUUCAUAAUCCUCAAUUGAUUUCACACUAAUCUUACUUCGAUUUCAUAAUCUCCAAUUGAUUUCUAAUGUUAUAAUUCGAAUAUUCUUACCAAGAAUCUUAGAUUAAAUUAGUGAAUCACUAAUCAAAUCACGAUUCUUAUGUUAUAAUUUCGCCGGUAUUCAGGCGUUUUUUUGUAGUGUAAGCUCCUUGCUCUAUAGAGAGAAGGGGAGGGGGUCACUUAUGAGUAAGGAGCCCACAAUGGAUGACUCAUUUUCUUAUUCUAUCUUUUUAAUUUUGAUUUUUAUAUUUUUUAUUUAACUUUAAUUGCACUAAUUUAAAUUACACAAUUACAUAAAAUUAAAAUUGCAUUAAUUUAAAAAAUCUACAAAUUACUUAAAAAACUAAAGACAUAAUUAAAUAUUACUUAAUGAAAAUAAGCUAAUUUCUAGGAAAUUAAUUAUUCUAUAUUCUAAAUUAAGUUUCAUAAAAAAAUUGUCAUUAAUUACAUUAACGGCCAUGAUAAAGUACCGCUGCCCUCUUUUUCGCUACCAAGCUUCCAAACCCGUCAGAUUAAAUAAUAAUUAAAAAAAAUAGCACGCACAGUCAAACAAAUGGGGCGGUAUUUAAUUUGAGAAACUCGGUCCGGCUCGGAAAAAAUCAAACUAAAAAGUACUUUUCUCAUUUGCAACGUGUCAAGAUCUGAACGUCAAUGUGUAAUACACAUUGGGCAGGUAAGACUCUUCCACCCAUUUGUCUAUGGGAUACGGGAAGGACAAUCUACAUUCUUAAAAGCACCUACGGCACCUUUAGAUAGACACUUUUUACCUAUGCUAUGAGGAACUUUUACCCAUGCUACGAGGAAUUAGCCAAAAUUAGUAGAACCGUAACUAACUUUUGGGACCACUAGACACGUAUCUAAAAAUUAUAGAGUAAUGCUAAACAGCCACAUUGUGGCCACCCACAAUUUACCUAAAUAAAAAAUAAUUUAAUUUAUUUAACUUAUUUUUUAAAAUAAAAAUAAGAGUUAGUUAUUUUAUCAUAUUCUCUACAUUGUAAUUAUUUUUUUUGUAAUUUUUUUGGUAACUUUUUUAUUUUUAUUAAAAAAUAAAUUAAAAAUAAAAAAUGCAAAAAAAAUUAAAAAAAAGGUACAAUGUAGAGAAUAUAGUAAAAUAACUAAAUCCUAUUUUUAUUUUAAAAAAUAAAAUAAAUCAAUCAAGAUUUUCCUUAUUAUACUAGUGUUGGGUGACCACAAUGUGGCUGCAUAGAUUUAUUGAAAAUUAUAUGUACCGUACAAAUCAUCACUACUAAAAUAAGCCUAUAAUCAAAAGCAAUCAAUGAGCAAUAAGAUAAAAAAAAAAAAAAGGUACAUAUAAAUAGGCCUCAAGGAUAAAUACAGAACAUGAGUUGUAACCCCCUGAAUAUAAAGUUUAAUCUAAAUAAAUUUUAAAUAGCAUUUUCUUAAUAAUAGUAAAGACUCAAAUAAUCUAAAUUUCAAAACUAUGGUAAACUUAGAAACUUCACCAACAUAAAUAAACUAAACUUCAAAUCCUAAAUUUAUCUUAAACACCAUCAAGUUCUUUAAUAAUAUUAAACUAAGCUUGAUAACAUAUUCUAAGCACCACACUCAUUCGUCACGCAUCUCCUUGCUCCUCACCUGAAAAUGUUUUAAUUAAAAAGAGGUGAGUAUUUUAAAUAUACUCAGUGAUGGGGGCUCAUAACAUACUUUUACUUUGCUCAAACAUGCAACAUAUGAAAUAUAAAAGUAAAACUUCAACCAUAAAUUAAAAACUUACUUCAAUCAUAAAUAAAAAACUUGCUAAACUAACAAAAGAAGAAAUGGGCCCUCCUCAUUUCCUUAUAUUUUAUUCUUAUAAAUACCUCUUAUUUACUAAAAAACAAAAAUCAACUUUAAUUCAAUCUCAACCACUCAUUUCAAAUAAUGGUGGGAUCCUUUCACCAUUGACCACCAAUUUUAUUAAAACAUGUGCCCAAGAAAUUUGUCCCAUUUUUUGUGGGCGGAAAAUUAAAAUAGGGGUAAUUGCCUAUCAAUUCAAAAUAUUUUCAGGAAUUUGGGAGUUGCACCUGAUUUUUUAUUUUCCUCAAAAUAUAUAACCUUUCAUUUUUUAUUUUUAUUUUCGAAUUUUGAUCUGGUAGUCAAUUUAAACUAACUUGACCAUCGGACAGUGACACGUUGGACACACCAAACACAUCAGACGACCAAGUAAAACGGUUAAUUGCCUCUAAAUCCAAAAGAUUUGCAGAAAUUCAAGCAUUGCACUUCAGCUAUUUCUUCUCUCUCUCUCUCUUUUUUUUUAGGGUAGCUAUUCUUUUCUUCGUGAUACAUAACCUUUCAUAUUUUUUCCAUUUUUAAAAUAAAUUCUAUAUUACUCCCUAAGUCCGCAAAAAAUAGUCUAUUUUUGCCAUUUUAGGAUGUCCAAGAAAAUUAGUCCAUUUCCAUUUUUUAAAACUAUCUAUCACAUGGUGGGUCCUAUUGUCCACGCACAAUUCAAUUAAUUGUCAUUAUAAACACUACUAUUUAAGUGGUACACUUUCUCCACUCACAAUACAAUAACCAUUUUUAUUAAAACUCAUGUCGUCCUCCUUCAGGAUUAUUUUUUAUGGACGAAAAGAGUAUAACUUAAAUGGGCCUAUAGGGCGGGUAGAUCGAAAUUAGUUUAUAAGUUAUAAUAUUUGAUCGAAAUUAUAACAUUAGUUAGAUGGUUAACUAAAUCGUAGUAUUACAUCUUGUAACUUUAGCAAAUGAUUAUGAAAAUUGUAGGCUGCCAUCAGUGCCAGCCACCCCAUGAUCUCUACCGAUUUGGAUUAAAUAAAUGCAUGUAUCUAUUAAACAAAGGGAAUCUCUAAAACUAAUUACUAUUAUUUUAUUAUUUUAUUAAAUUGAUGAUUUUUUAAACUAACUCAAGUCUGGACUAAAAUAAUUUAUUAAUUUAUAGUGUUCAUUAAUUUAUCAAGUAUUAUUUUACAGAUAUUCUACUAUAAUUAUAGAAUCAAAUAAACUAAAUUGUUAUUUUAAAAAAUUAAAUAUAAUAGAUGAUAUAUUUAUAUUUUUACUUUCAUCAAAUAAAAUAAUAUUGGUUACACGUACGACGUACGCUAGCGCUUUUUGUUGACGGUAAAAAAAAAACAUGGAUAUGAGAUGUACAGUGGAGCAUAGGACUAGAAAAUAUAAUCUCUAACAGGAAUAGUGAAACAACUUAAUUUUAACCGACACAAUGUUGAAACAUAUUAAAACUUCAUUGUUCAUAAUUAAAUUAGGCAUUUCGAUGGUCGUUCGACGCCUCAUUAACCUUACGCUAUUCAACCUAAUUUACUACUCUCAACCUUUCCAGAAUCAAGAUGGAGUUAGAUAGUUACGCUAAGGUCAAAUGUCUUGUGUUCGAGUCCCCACCUUUAAAUUUUAUUUAUCUAAUACUGUUAGUUUAUCAAAAAAAAAAAAGAGAUGGAGCUAGAUAUCUUGCAAAAGAUGGCCAAUCAAAAGCAAGAACUAACAAGCAACACAACUAAAUGCAUAAUGAGAACUUCACUAGAAUAAAGUGCAAAGAAAUUACAAAUCUAAGACAUAGAGUUCCAACAAUCCAAGUCUCAAAAGUAAGGAAAAGAAAAUAGCCAAAGAUGACAGAAAUUAAAAGGAAAAAUAACAAUGCAAGUCUGCUCAUGAGAUCAAAGUAGCAUAAUUUAAAAUACAACUUCAUAAAUCAGAGCAAUAGCCAAAGAUGAUAGUUCAAGAAUGUGGUCUUUCUUCUUUCUCCUCAAAAUGGCAGUUGCUUCUCUUUCACCGUGACAAUUGUGGCUGCCUUCCCAAGAUGUAGCAGCUAGGUUUCCCAAGAAAUAGUCCUUGAAAAGACCAAGUUACCCCUUAUUUGGUGUAGACUUCAGGUGCUCUCCUCGAUUUUUGCUGAUAGAUAUGUUCAACUUUUAUGCCAAAUCAGCUAACUUUUUCUUAGGAUGCGUUUACUUUGAUUGAUAAAUUUAUCAUGAGAAAAUGAAGGAUAUCAAAAUUUUGUCUUUGAAUUGGUGAAAAUAAGGAAGGAAAUUGGUGAAUUUCUCUUUUGUGUAAAAUGUGAGAAAAUAAAGGAGACAUUUAAAGACAUAAAAUUUUGUUAUCCCUUCUUUUCUCAUGAUAAAUUUAUGGGGUAAUUGCCUGUAAAUUCCUAACGUUUACACGGAAUUGAUUUUUGCAUAUUUUUUUUAUUUUUUUCUUUUAAAUACCUAACCUUUAGUUUUUGUCUGAAAUUUAUCCGAUCACCGGUUUUUUCUUACGCCGGCGCCGGAAAUGCCACUUUGGCAGCCAUAAUAGAUGAGAUGGCAACAGGAAUUGACACCUAAAUAUAAUUUUUAUAUGUGGCAAAAAAAAAUUAAAAAAAAAGAGAAAAUUUCCAACUCAUCAUCUUCCCAACUCAUUCAUCUCUCCCCCCUUCCACCACCCGCCGGCGCCCGCCCCGCCGCCCACCAUACNAGACCUUUUAUAUUAGGGGUAAUUGCCUGUAAAUUCCUAACGUUUACACGGAAUUGGUUUUUGCUAUCUUUUUUAUUUUUCUCUUUUUAAAUACCUAACCUUUAGUUUUUGUCGGAAAUGCCACUUUGGCAGCCGAAAUAGAUGAGAUGGCAACCGGAAUUGACACCUAAAUAUAUUUUUACACGUGGCAAAAAAUUAAAAAAAGAGAAAAUUUCCAACUCAUCAUCUUCCCCAACCUCAUUCAUCUCUCCCCCCUUCCCACCACCCGCCGGCGCCGCCCACCGCCACCAUAAGCCAGCGCCGGCCACCCCUUCCCCCAUUCCCAGACCCAUUGGCCCUAUCCAAACCCCAGACCCAUCGGCCCCUCCCCAAAAUCCCCACGACUCCCGUCCUCGUCCCUCCCCCCACUCCCCACUACUCCCCGUCCUCGCCCCUCCCCCACGUCCCCCAACCCGCCCACCGCCCAUCGCCACCACCAUUGCCGGCACCACCUACACCGUUCUCACCACAUUCGCAAGCACAGACGGCAGCGCACAAAGGGCAACAAUUCGUGCCCUAGAUCUGCAAUUCUCCACCAACUCGCGUCGCCCCUUGCUGCGGUCUGGGGAGUGGGAGACCGACGAGAUCUGGGGAGGGGGAGGCCAGCGAGAUCUGGGGAGGGUGAGGCCGGAAGUCGGAGGCUGGUCUGCUGCUCCGCCGCUUGGUCGCGCGCCUUGCUCGUGCACUACCACGAAGUGGAGGCUGGUCUGCUGCUCCGGAGGACGGCGGCGGCGAUCGACUUCCUCAGCUGCUCCAGGCGGUGGAGCGUUGGUGGUGGUAGCGGUGGGUGGCGGCGCCGGCGGUGGUGGAGGUGGCAGGGGGCGGCGCCGGGUGGGGGGAGGGAGAGUUAGGGUUUGGGGUGGGGGAAGGGAGAAAGAACGAUUGGGGGGGUGAUUUUCCUUUUCUUUUCUUUUUUAUUUUUUUUCCACAUGUAUUUUUUAUUUCAAUUUUUUUUUAGAUUUUUUUGCCACAUGUCACAAAUGAGCCAAGUGGAGAAUUCCGGCUGCCACAGUGUGAAUUCCGGCUGCCACAGUGGCAUUUCCGGCGCCGGCGUAAGAAAAAACCGGUGAUCGGAUAAAUUUCAGACAAAAACUAAAGGUUAUGUAUUUAAAAGAAGAAAAAUAAAAAAAAGGUGCAAAAACCAAUUCCGUGUAAACGUUAGGAAUUUAUAGACAAUUACCCCUAAAUUUAUCUAUCAAAGUAAACGCACCCUUAUAGUAAGUGGUCCCCCUCUCUUUUGCUCGUGAAAAUCUCGUUCAACACAACUGAGCAUAAUGUUGUAGCAAAAUCCCAGCAAUACUAUAAUCUCUGCACAAGACAAACAAACCUCUCUUUUCUCUAUUUUUAUGAGAUCAGCUAACUUUUAAUAUCAGUUUUCAUACAUGUCAAUUCUCAAACACACAAAAGUAAAAGAGUAAAACGAAAAAUAAAAGAAAAAGAAAACCGAAAGAAACUACACACAACCACAAACGGAGCCAGGGGGGGCUAGAGCCCCCUCCAAAUUUUGAGUUUUUUUUUUUAAAUUGUAAAAUAUAUAUAGAUAUAUAUUUAUACCUAUUAUAAAAUAAUUUUGUUUUAUAAAAGAGUAUUUGGUUAUUAUAUUCUCUCAUAUAUACUUAAUUUAAGGAUAAUUUUGUUAUUUAAAACUAUAUAAUCUAUGAAAUAUUGUUUGUUAUUAUUACUAUUAUACUUGUCUUUUAAUAAAAAAUGCCUAAUAUGUAUGAAAUGCUAAAAAAAAUUAUAAUGUAUUGAAACUAAUUUGUAAUAUAUAGAAAAUAUAUAAUCUAUGAACAUGUUGUUUGUAUUAUUAUUAUUAUGCUUGCCUUUUAAUAAAAAAUGUCUUAAAUAUACGGAAUGUCCAAAAAAAGUUUUGUGAUAUAUUGAAACUAUAUAAUCUAUGAAAAUAUUGUUCGUUAUUAUUAGUAUUAUGCUCGUAUUUUAAUAAAAAAAAUACCUUAAAUAUACGGAAUGCCCAAAAAAAUUUUCUCGGGGGCUACCGCCCCGAACCCCCGUUCAAGUUCAACCCCCAAUAACGGCUCACACAACACGGAUCAAACUCUUCUUAAAAGCUUAAAAGAAUGAGUAAUAACUCUUUUAUACAAGAGUUAUCAAGUUGACAGUUAAAAAUUCUAACGUGGCCAGAUCAGCUAUAAGGAAAAACGACACAGUAUUGAAACACAUUAAAACGCCGUUGUUUAUAAUUAAAUCAUUUUACUGAGAAGAAUUCAUGAAGAGAUCCAGUACCAGAUUGAAGGGAAGAUUCCAAGAGCAUCGUCGCUGACAACUGAUGAAAUUGUUUCUUGAACCUCAGAAAUCACAAAGCGUUGCUACAGUGGAGCAUUUUGAUGGUCGUUCGAUGCCACAUUCCAGUUUCUGGAUCGAAAUGCAGCUCCCAUGUAGGCCAGUAGUGCAAAUCCUGCUUCAGUGUGAGUACUUGAGACGUUCCUUUGAAGUUAACUGUUCUAACACGAACGAACUCCCCGUGCUCUAUUUCCUUUAUCACGGCAACGAAGGCAUCCAAAUUGGGAGUUGGCUUCCCAUUUACUUGUACAAUCCACACAAGACAAUAUAAAUUAUACCGGUGUCCUGGACUUCCUUGCCACCACCUUGCCACAUAGACGCCAUGACCUUCUUGAGGCAGAAAUCCAAGGGCGCGUACAGCCGAAUGAGGUUCCUGGAUUGCACAACCACACCAAUUUAUGACACGUCUGGUUCCAUUUCCAUCCCUCACAUCUAUGCCCACCACUACAUCGAUCUCACGGCCCUGACGAAAAAUUGUUACUUUGAGCUCGUCCAAUUCUUGGCAAGCAUCUUCAAUGUCUCGGAAACAUGUAACUGCUUCUUUAUUGAUUGCCAAAACCAUGUCACCCUGUUGUAGUAGAUUUUCAGCUUUAGAUCCUGCUAAGCAGCCUUUGACCCUCAAAACUUGACGCCUAAGAGGGUCUUUCUUCAUCAGUGCACGGAUCCAAGAGUCACUGAGGCCAAAGCUACGAGCUUUCGAGAGCAAAGUUGGAUAAAGUUCAACCUCCAGUAUUUUAACAAGUGGCAUUAUGAGACGAGCAGGAGCAGAUACUAUUUUAUCAAGUGUGUGACUUAUUGUAUAAAUUGGAAUCCCUCGACUAAAUUCAUGGCUUUUGCCACUACAUUGUGUUGAAAAGCUUCCCCAAAUAGCUUGAACCCUUCCAAGAUCGUCUGUGAGAACACCAGAAAAUGCACAUCCAAAAUCUGUAUCAAGCUCUAUUACUUCCAUAUUGGUUGCCCUAUAUCUUGGAGCAGUAGCUGAGCCAAUAUUAAGAGCAGCACAAGCAUUGGUGACAAAAGAUUUCCGACAAGUGGUCUGCAGACUCUCAUUCAACCCCACAAGACACACAGAAUCUCCACGGCCUAGUGCAGGUUCAGGAAGAAGUUGAGCAGCUCGAACUAGCGAAGCACCAGGACCAAGAGCACAAGGGUCAUAUGCCACAAGUGCAAAAUUGUGCACGGGAUGGAGAAAAACAAUCUCGCCGGGAAUUUCAAUUGGAUAAGCAGCAAAAGACAGCAUGACAUCAGAUACAGAGACCACAACAGUGUUUCUAUCAACAACAACCAAUCCCUUAGUUUGAGAAUGAUGUAUGAUAAGACCAGUUCCAAUGAAAUGCCCCGAGUGCACACCAUCAAGCAUACAAGAUGGUGGCACACGAACCUCAAGCAUAACUAGGCUAGGCUCAAUCACUCGCUCAGCGACUUGAAAAUCUCUCGAUUCAUCAUCCUCCACUCUCAUUUUCUCCAUCGAUUCUUCAAGUGCAUGUUCCAUCUCAGCAGAACAUGAUAAUAAUACUGGCUUCAUGGUCCACAAACCAGUAGUGUCGUUGCGAGUGUAUAUGUGAGGAGGUGCAUACCAUUCAUGACGAUCAAUUGUGACCAGGACAGACUUCCCUUGAUGACGAUCAGUAUGAGUGAUAUACUCUAAUGGUACUCUUGCGCCCCUUGAGAACUUAGAUAGCACAGAAAUGAAGUCAUCAAGUUUUGUUAUGUCUUGACCAGCAAACUUGUUAAUAAUAGCAUAACGUGGAACUCCAGCUCUGGAUAGCAUGUACCCUGCAUUAGCAACAUACACAAGACCACACUGGAAACUGAAGUUCCUGGCCUGUUGAUAAGAGAGAGGAUGUAUGAUUGCACCACUCACUUCAAGAAAGUAGUCAGGUGUGAUCGAGUGCAAAUCCUCAACCCUCAACUCUACACUCAAAGCUUCGCCACCCCUUUCAAUCUCGAGUUCAAUUUUAUUGUUGACAUUGUCAUCAAGCAAUGUCUCCAUCUUCAGAAACCGGGUACUCACCUCCCCGUUCAAUCGAAUCAGCACAUCACCUGGCUCCAAAUGCUUAUGGGCUGGACCACCCGGCACCACCGAGUCAACCACAAGCAUUCCAGUUUCACCAGGUGGAGAAGCGAGCCGCACUAACUCUUCAGUUUCACUUCCAAGCCCAAGCCUGCGGGUCUCAUCAAAUCCUUUGUGAAGAAAUGUAGCCUGCAGCGUACCACGAGGAAUCCAUGUGCAUCUUCCUCUCUGCAAGAAUCCUAAGGCUCUCACAACUCUUUCCAAAGGUAAGAAAAAUGCUGAAGCACCGGAUGCCCUGCCCCCAGCAUGCAAGGCGACUGCUCUACCUUGCCUGUCAAUCACAGGAGAGCCACUCGAACCACCUUUCGCCCCAGAAGCUGCUUGGAUGUAGAAAGUAUUGAAGUCGUUGUAGCCAUCCUUUCUAUAGUGUGGAGCAUCUCUAUCCAACCGAGCAAGAGUUCCUGCCAAAAUAGACACCUUGUCACCACUAUCAUUUCCGACCAUCCGAAUUUCAAGCCCCACACAUGCAGCCUCAGGAGCAAGAGGGAUCUCCUCAUAGCUGAGGAAUUGUAUAGCACAAGGGUCAUAAAGGAAGAAGCCGAAAUCAUGAACCGGGUCUCUGUAUAUCGGCUGCACUGGGAUUUCUUCACGGUUCACAAACAUAGCUUCCGCCACAACAGGACCUGGCUUAACAACGUGGCGGUUCGUAAGAAUAAUUCCGCGGGACUUGUCCACCACGAAGCCCGUGGCGGAUGACGCACCGGCCGACUGAGUGUCGAAGGCACGGCAUGCAGUUGUGCGGAGGACCACCAUGGCGGGAACCACCUUGUUCAGUGCCUCCUUGAAGGGCGAGUCAAUCUCCUCCUCCGAUCCCAACCUCUCCAUUUCUUACACAAAAACUCUACCGUACUAGUCUACAAUUGAUCUCUCUCUCUCUCUCUCACACACACACACACACUUGGCGAAGCAAUUAGGUCAACGAUUUCUGUUAAUUUAUUGCUCGCUUUCUACUUUUUAGGAUCGGAGAUCUCUCCUUGCUUUUAGAAUUCUUCAGUUUGUUACAUUCUGUUGCAAAAUAACCUAUUCUCUAGAGAAGCCCUAAUUCACCGCAAAAAUAUCUUCCUUACAGAUAUACUCCAACAGCAUCCUUACUCCACACAUAUACAAAUACAUUUCUAUAUACAAUGAUUGCUUACAGAUUUUAUCAUAAUCGAAAUCGGUAUAUGAGAUGUGGAGGCGGAGGCGCGAUGCAGAGCGGCGAGGUGGAGCAGCGGCGCGGCGAGGCGCGGAGAGAGAGAGGGAGUUUCCUCGAUCGGCAGUUUGUAAAAUGGGAGCCAGGGGGUUAGUUUUUAAGUAUGAUUCCUUUUUAAUUAUUAUUAUUAUUAUUAUUAUUAUUAUUAUGAUUAUGAUUAUAAUUUCAUUUACCGCUUCAAAAAAAAAAUACUACUAUAUUUAAAAAUGAGUUUUUAAUUUGAAAUCAAUUUUUAAUUUUAAUUUGUAAUUUUGUAAUUAUAAUAAAAUUGAAAGUUUAUAUUUAAACUAUAUAGUUUUUUUUAUUUCCAUUUUAUUUAACUUCUUAUUUUUUCUUACAUUUCUUUUUAAAAUUAUGAAAUUGCAUAUCAAAUUAAAGAUCACGGUAAAAAUUUUAAUAUGAUAUAUUUUAUGAAAAUAUUUGAUUUAAAAUGUAAAAAUUAAAAUUGUUUAAAUAUUAAAGUUUUAUAAAUUUUUCUCUCUUUUCUCAUCUUUUUUGAAUAAAUAUAUUUUUAAUUCUUUUUAAUUUUUUAAACUUAUUUUUCUAUUUUUGUUUUUUCAUAAUAUCAAAUUUUAUAAUUGUGAUUUUUUUUUCAAUAUUCAAUUAAAAUUAAUUUUUUCUCCCUCCGUCUCAAUUCAAUAUGCUAUAUUUCCUUAUUCGAACGUCUUAAUUUGAUAGGUCACUUCCAAAAAUGAAAAAUCAACACAUAACAAAUAUUCUCAUACAACUCAUUAUUUACACCAAAUGUUAUUGUAAUUCACACAUAAUUAUCUUUCCUUUAUUUAUCUCUCCUACUUCUUAGACACAUAUUUAUCAUCAACAAAAGUUAAAUUCUCUCCUAUUUUAUUACUAUAAAUUAUUCGUUUCUUAGCAUUCAUGUUCAAGGUUUGUGGCCUAUUGAAUCGGGACAGAAGGAGUAUUAUACUUAUAAGUAUACUAACUAAAUAAGUAUUGAUUUUAUAUAAAUAUAAAAAUCAAAAAAAUAUUUUGCACGUGUUGGGUAUCUUCGCCUUGCCGGGAUUACUCCUCUUGUUUCCCGAACCUCCGGUCCGUCUCACUUCGUGCUCAGGCACUUCUUCUUCUUCUUCUUCUUCUUCUGUUCUUCUGUUAUUCUUUACCUUCUACUUCAUCUUCCUCCUGCGUGAACCUGCAAAUCACCAGAAAAGCAGCAAGUCAACAAGUUACAAAGAAAGAAACUAAGAAAUACAGAAAAGUAAGAGAGUCCAGAGAGAUUCAAGGUGGGAAAAGUGUGCCCUUUGGACACAGAGGCUCAGAUUUUCCCACAACAGCAACACUCCGGCAGCUCAAGACCAAGGCUCAAAGGUGGAAGGAACACAAUGGAGCCCAACUCAGUAACCAGCCGCCCAAACUCAGGAAUCCGAUGGACAGGACUCGGCGACCAGAACUCACAAUAUCACCAAGCAGGAGACCUUCUCAGGAAUCCGAUGAUAAUGCUCUCAAUAGCAGGAAGUCCGCUCCUCACAGCCACAACACCGGCGAUCAGACCGGAAACACAGAAGGAAUAGCAGAGCCUUCAACGUUGUGUACCUCUUGAACGGAACUUCCCACAAUCGAGGACUUUAUAACCAAGAUGGGGACAGAUCAGGGAAGUAAAGGGAGGCAUCGGGAAGGAGGGGGAGAAUUGAAGGCGGAAGGAGAACCGAGGAGUCGGGCGGCGGAGGGGAAAUGGAAAGGCGCAGGUGAGAGAGAGAGAUAACAGAGCGGCGCAAGGGAAGUGAGGGAUUAAGGGUUUGGCUGAAAGGGGGUUGGGAUUAUUUAGGGAGAAGGGCUUGGUUUUGGGCUUGGGAGGUUUUGGGCUUGAGCUGAAAAUAAAGAGUAUUGGGCCAACAAUCCACAUAUCCACCUUUGGCACAAUAGUCUUUAUGUCACCAGGGAGUGUGUGCCUUUAACUGAAUUUAUCAUCACAGCCAUUUUUACUAUCAUCCUAUCACAAGGACAAGACAAUAGAGGGUGAGAAGAAUAUUAUGCAUAUUAAUCUCAAUCUCAACACCAGAGACCAACCCAAGGGAAAUCACCAUUUCUCAAACCAAAAGAGGUUAUCAUUGAAGACACAACAGACACACACACAUGCACUCAAGCAACAUCACACAAGACACACACAGAAGAGACAAACAGACCAGAGCAGAGCUCACAACAGAUCAGACACUCAGAGCAAAAGAAAACACAUGCAGAACACACAAACACAUGACAGAGCAACAGACUCAACAAACACAAACACACAGAACAAAGAAAACAUGCAAGAAAAAGAGAAAAAAACAUGAAAGAGACAAGCAGCCACAGAGGCUAAACUUGCCACACACACAAGUACAGAAACUGAACUUUAACCAUGAUCAGAAAACACAACGGGAGCAGAAACCACAUUGCAAUCAAGGCCUUCUUUAGUAGAUCCCUUAACAACAAGCCUAGCUUUAUAUCUGACAUUUUCAGUAUCAUGCUUGACCUUAAACCACAAUUUGGACUUAACAACAGAACAUUCAGUGGGCUUUAUCACUAGAGCCCAAGUUUCAUUAGGUUCAUUCAUAACAGGCUCAAGCAAGUUUUCUGGUUCAACAUGCAAGUUGGGUUGAGGAUCCACCUCAAAAGGAACAGUGGGGGUAAACACAAGCUCAUACAUGCUUUGAUCAACAACAUUCACAUUCUCCACCUCACUUGGAGCAGCAGAUUGUGAGGAUUCAAGCAGGCAAGGGACUGACUCAGCACAAACAGCAUAUAAACCACCUUUUCUUGGUGCAGAGAAGUACACCACAUAAUCCUUCUCAAAUUGAAAUCUCAAGUGAUUCACAGAGCCAUUUAACAUAUUGUCAGCAAGUUUAGACACAGAUAACAAGCUAAACUCCAACUUUGGCACAUAUCUAACAUCAUUCAAGGUAAGUAAACUCCCAUUUUCAAAUUUCAGACAAACAUCUCCUUUUCCCAAAAUAUCACACUUUUGGCCAUCAGCUAAAACCACAUGACCAGAAUUGACAGACUCCAGAUUGUGAAACAUGUGUUUGAAAGGAGUGACAUGAAAAGUGCAGCCAGAGUCAAUAAACCACUCAUUUGAUUUUACAGAUUUAGACACAUCAUUGGAGUAAUUUAAGAACUGAAAAUCAUGCUCAUGCACCAUAUAAACUCCAUCAUCUUCAAACACAUUAUUAGCAUGCUGUUCAGGUUCAUUAAGAACAAAGCUCUUGUUUUUCUUAGGCUGUUUACACCUAUUUGAAAGAUGACCAGGUUUUCCACAAUUCCAACAAAGCUUUUUAGGCUUUUGAUCAAACCCCUUUUUAUCUUUGUUAACAAACAUGACCUCACCAUGCAAUGGUUUUGAUUUAAGAAUCUUCAGUUCACUUUCUUUAGCCUUUAAGCCAUUCACAAUCAUAUCACAUAUUACUUUAGACCCUCCAUACUUUAAUGCAGACUUGACUUCAGCAAAUGACUCAGGAAUGGAACUUAACAAAAUUUGAGGAGCAUAUUUCUCAAUAUUGUCAUCACCAGAAAGUUUCAAAUCAUGCAGCAGUUUGUUAAAAUCAUCCAUGUUGGUGUCAAUAUCCUUAGAGGAGUCCAUUUGAAAAGUCAUGAACUGAUUUUGCAAAGACCAUGCAGAAGUUUCAGAUGAUGCAGAGUACAAAGAAUUCAGUUCAUCCCAUAAAUCCUUAGUACAUAAGUGAUGAGACACUUUCCUAACCACAGAGCUGCUCAAGUUCAACAGAAUUGUUGCCCUAGCAUUAUCAUUCAUGUCAUGCAGUUUUUCAUCAGUGACAGUCUUAUCAAUUUUAGUUAAUAAAGCCUUUUUAACCUUCUCUUUAACAAGAAUGCAUUCUAUUUUGGUUUUCCAGUCCUGAAAAUCAUCUCUGCCAUUGAAUGGCACCAAAUGCAUGUUGUUCAUGAUGAAUGCAGAUGCAAAUAGGGCUGAACACACCAACUAGACACAGAGUAACAGGUCAGUCAGACCACAGAGCAGGUAGCACCACAACAAAGGUCACAAGGACCUCAAGGAAGGAAACUUCUGGAGUUCAGGAGCAGGGAAGAGCCCAGAUCUCAGCACAGAUUGAUCUGUGGAGCAAGGUUUCACACUGGUCCCUCCAAGAAGUUCCAAGAGGACUAUCUGAGUCCAAGAAGGGUAAAACUCUCAAUCCAAGAGAGUUUUACAGAACAAAGCAGAAACACCAGAGAGAGCAAAACAAUCAGCGAAACAGUAAGGAACCAAAGCACAACAGCCUUCAGAUAGCCCCCUUUCUCCCUUGAUUUCCAGGGUACUCGCACGAGGAGACUCCUUUAAAGGAGAAUCCAGACGAACUGGACCAAAUGCAAGGGAGAACCUCACUUGGCUUUGUGCCAGGGUUAUCGAGAAUGAACAAGGGAAGCAAAAAGACAGGAUCGCAAGAUACCAAAUCAAGAAAAACAGUAAGAACAAAAAAGCAGGCAACACCAAUCCUACUAGGGUUAGGUAAGCCAAUUUACCAGAGCGAGUCAGGUAGGGAAGUCCGAUUACCUCCUUGCUCGUCGGAGCGAUCGGCGCAGCCAAAGGCGGCGGGGUGAGAGGGAUGUGUUCGGGGGGAGCCCCGGCAAGGUCCCGUGGCUCUGAUACCACUGUGGGUAUCUUCGCCUUGCCGGGAUACUCCUCUUGUUCCCGAACCUCCGGUCCGUCUCACUUCGUGUCAGGCACUUCUUCUUCUUCUUUUCUUCUGUUCUUCUGUUAUUCUUUACCUUCUACUUCAUCUUCCUCCUGCGUGAACCUGCAAAUCACCAGAAAAGCAGCAAGUCAACAGUUCAAAGAAAGAGAUGAAAGAAAACAGAAAAGUAAGAGAGUCCAGAGGAGAUUCAAGGUGGGAAAAGUGUGCCCUUUUGGACACAGAGGCUCAGAUUUUCCCACAACAGCAACACACUCCGGCAGCUCAAGGACCAAGGCUCAAAGGUGGAAGAUGAACACAGAUCGGAGCCCAACUCAGUCAAACCCAGCCGCCCAAACUCAGGAAUCCGAUGGACAGGACUCCGGCGACACAGGGAACUCAGCAAUAUCACCAAGCAGGAGACCUUCUCAGGAAUCCGAUGAUAAUGCUCUCAAUAGCAGGAAGUCCGCUCCUCACAGCCACAACACCGGCGAUCAGACCGGAAACACAGAAGGAAUAGCAGAGCCUUCAACGUUGUGUACCUCUUGAACGGAACUUCCCACAAUCGAGGACUUUAUAACCAAGAUGGGGACAGAUCAGGGAAGUAAAGGGAGGCAUCGGGAAGGAGGGGGAGAAUUGAAGGCGGAAGGAGAACCGAGGAGUCGGGCGGCGGAGGGGAAAUGGAAAGGCGCAGGUGAGAGAGAGAGAGAUAACAGAGCGGCACAAGGGAAGUGAGGGAUUAAGGGUUUGGCUGAAAGGGGGUUGGGAUUAUUUAGGGAGAAGGGCUUGGUUUUGGGCUUGGGAGGUUUUGGGCUUGAGCUGAAAAUAAAGAGUAUUGGGCCAACAAUCCACAGCACGGAAUGCAAAUGCUAGUGAUUUCAUUAAGUAUUCCCCAAAUCAAAACCCUCUAACCCAUUUCAUCAAACAGCUUGCGGGCAUCCCAAAUUCAAUUCUGCAUCUCGCUUUCGUUUCCCCCUUCACUCUACACAUUAUCGCAGCCCAAACCCACUGACAACAAUGGGAUCACCUCCAUAAUCGAUCACGUGCGUGCGGCCGCACGACCGGAGCGGGUUCAAAUGGCAUCGAUGCCGUUGGUUGCAAGAACUCGGUUCGCCACGCGAAGGUACCUAGGGUUGCGCUAAAGUUCGUCGAACUUUUUGUUUUUGAUAAAUUACAUAAGUAAAUAAACAAGUUCAAAGACCGGCGCGACAGAUGACUCGAACGCAAGACCUCAGGUCUUGGGCAUUAACCUCAUACUGCUAGGCCAACACACGCUUCAUGCAAAAGAGUUAAUUGUCAAAAAUAACACGGUGUUUGUCCGAAUUUGCAGUUUUCACAUGCUUGCGGAUCGAUGCCAAACAUAAAUUAGACGAAAGUUACAAACCUGGUAUCAUAAAAUCUUGUUUUAGACGAACAUAAGACGAAACAGAGUUUCUCCCUUUGAUUAUCUUUCAACUAAUUUAAAUACAAUCUAACAUCACAAGUAGUAAGGUUGAGUGGAUAAUGAUGACUACAUCACCAUGAAAGAGAUCAUCUAUUUAUCAGUGUGAGAUAUCAAUAGGGCAAAUAAAGAUAAUAUAAAUGUGCUUUAUAGUAUAAACUAUUACACUGUCAGUUGCAAAAGGCAUAAAUAGGCGAAGCACUGAACAAUUGAGAGAAAACAUAAAGAUAUAAUAUUUGAAUGAAUUCAAGAAUAGCUGCGAAAACAUCAGACGAAGCAAAGUUUCUCCCUUUUCUUGAAACUACGACUUGGAGCAGAGGAAACUAUGACUACAUCAGCUUUGAAGAGAUCAUCUAUUUAUCCGAGCGAAAUAUGAUCAAUAUGGGAAAUAAAGAUUCAAUAAAUAUGCAUAUGGCAUAAGCUGUUACACUAUGAUAAGUUUCAGUGAUGUCUUCUUUAAGAAACAAAGGAAAAUGAGAAGAAGAACCUUGCAAAAGGCAUAAAUAGUUGAAUACGCGAUUUACCUUUCUUGAUCUCAGAAUUCACCAAUAGUCUCCACAAUUACACACAUCUCCCUCAAAGUGGUGAAAACGAUUAACAUCACGUAGGAUGAUCAAUCUCCCGACAAUCUUUGCUAUGUGUUUGAUUGCCGUGUGGCAAUCCUCAUAGACGCGCAAGUUCUUGAAAACUCGAACAAGUCUCCCACUUGGUAUCUUCAUAUCUCAUAUGCAACAGCUAACCUUUCACUAUGAUACUUUAGCAUAUGCUGUUUUUCUUCUUCCCCCGCAUCACGUAGCACCGAUUUUGUAGCGGGAGCAUAUCCAUCCUCUUUCAUCUUCAAAUCUAACUCUUCCAAGAAAGCACAGAUGCUUUCGCUAUCAGGAUGAGUGAAGUCUCCAACAUAAAACUUGUGAAUUUUGUUUAGCACUUCAACCCAACUAUAUCCAAUUCUAAUGCUAAGACCCCGACCCCUCAUUCUUAUUCGCAUCUUCUUAGCAUCUUCCCAUCUACCCGAAGGUGCAUAUAAGUUGGAAAGAAGAACAUAUACCGCAAAACUCUGUGGUUCCGAAUCAAACAACAUCUCAGCUGCCAUUUAUCCUAAUUCUAUAUUUCCAUGAAUCCUGCUAACACCAAGUAGAGAUCCCCAUGUUGCUGCAUUUGGAUUGAAAGACAUGCUCUUUAUAAGAAAUUGUCGGUACCAUAAUUGAAAACUCAGUUGACGAUGACACUCAGGGUGAUAAACAAAGGAAGAAAUAAUUUUUUUAUUACGGAUCGAGAACACCAUACCAAAACUUAUCUUAUUGUUUUAGUAAAAUUAUUAUUUUAAAUAAUUGGCCUAUGUGUCUGGAUAAUUUUUAUUUUAUUUUAGAGUGAUUAUUAAUUUAUUGAAUAUUAAUAUAAGAAGAUUCUACCAUGCAAAAUUAUAAAAUGACCGUUAUAAUUUGCCAAUAAAAAUAAUCUAGAACAUAUAAAAAUCUAAGAUAAUCAUUGUAAUUUAUCAGUGAAAAUAAUUUAUCACAUUAUUUGCGACGCCAUGGAGAUAUUAUCCCUAAUGGGAAACACACAUGGACUCAGGGGGGUUUAUCCCCACCAAACAUUUUUUCAAUUUACAUUCUUUUAAAAUCGUUAAAUUAUUGGUAUUUUGUGUGAUUUUUAUGUACAAUAAUCCACACCACCAAAUCAUAUGGUAAGAGCUUUGUAUUUUUGAAAUCUCAAUCUCAAAGGUUGCUGCAAAGUAUUUUAUUGGAGAGACAACCUCAACACCAGUAUCAACAUUGUUGAGAAUAUUAGAAUAAGGGUCAUGCAUGCUGCAUGCACCCACUAUUAAAUAAGCCUAGCUGCAUCUAGAUUAGUUAUGCUGAGCUGGCACCAUGCGCGGUGCGUGUGUGUAUUUCCUUUCCGAUUGUACCUAGUAUAUAAGUGUUAGUUGUGUGAUGUAAUCCCUUGAUCAAUAUGAAACACACUUUACUUUUGCUGCAAGCUCUCUUUUCUGUCAUGGUAUCCAGAGCAAAAGCCUUCCGCUGAAAUCUUCUUCUUCUUUUUCCGAUGGCACCUCACACGCCUUCCCCAUCCAAAAACAACCAAUCACCUCCUUACGAGGAUCAAUCUAGUCCGUAUUUCUUACCCAGCAGUGAUAAUCCUGGAGUCCAGUUAGUCACACAGCAAUUGAACGGUUCAAACUACAUCACAUGGAGUCGCUCGAUGACGACGGCGCUUAUGGCAAAGAACAAAGUUGCUUUUAUCGACGGUUCGAUUAUGCGACCUCAUUCUACCGAUCUGUUAUUUUCUCAGUGGCUUCGUUGCAACAGCAUGGUUGUAUCUUGGCUUCGCAAUUCUGUCGUACCAGAGAUCAGUUCCAGCAUCAUGUAUAUCGAUGAUGCGUCUCUUAUCUGGAGCGAUUUGAAAGAGCGGUUUUCUCAAGGUAACUUAGCUCGUAUCUGUCAACUGAAGCAACAAUUGCUCACUUUGAAGCAGGGAUCUGAUGAUGUCAGUGCUUAUUUCACCAAGUUGCGUAUUCUCGGGAGAAUACGCGAUUUUCAGCCAUCACGGUGGUGCGUUUGUGAUAAUUGUAGAUGCCAGAGUUCUCGUAAAUGGAAUGAGUUUCAACUACAAGAAUGUUCUAUGCAAUUUCUUAUUGGUUUGAAUUCCUCUUAUUCUCAGAUUCGGUCUCAGAUUAUUUCUACUGCACCUCUACCUUCUUUGCAGAGAAUUUUUGCCUUAGUUUUGCAGGAAGAAAGGCAAAGAUCUAUUGAGCAACAAUCACCUGUGAUUAACUAUGAAAAUCAAGGUUCUAUGAUUAAUGCAGCGAGUACAGCGAGUAUAGCUCGUGGCCGAGGAGGCCGAGGAAAAUUUCUGUGUACUAUUGUGGCAAAACUAGUCACACUGUGGAUAAGUGUUUUGAGAUCAUAGGCUAUCCCCCAGGCUAUGGCAGAGGAAAACCUAAAUCUCAAGGAUAUUCUAAUGAAGGAAGCAGAUCUAUUAAUCAGAUGACAGCUAAUGAGGCUGCGGUUGUUCCUCAAAAUUCCUCUGGUUUGUCAGCUGCAGAUAUGGCUCGGAUGAUAUCAUAUUUACAGACUCAGAUGCAAGUGAGUCCUCCUCCUGCUACCAAUCAACAGCCGCCUGCAUCAACAAAACCAGAGAAUGUUCAAUUUGGAGAUUUUUCGGCUCCAGCUGCUGUCUCUCCUCCAUUCAGUGGUACAGUAUCCCUUCAGCCUCUAGUUUGUUCUAUUUCUUCUUCCUCUUGUUGGUUGCUAGACACAGGUGCUACACACCAUGUUUGCAAUGACUCUAAAAUGUUUAGUGAUUCUUCCAUUGCUAAUAAUAUUCAUGUCAGUCUGCCCAAUGGUAGUAAUGCCAAAGUUACUUGCAUUGGUACCAUUGUUAUCUCUCAUUCUCUUCAACUCAAAUCUGUGCUAUGUGUUCCUAGUUUCUCCUACAACCUCAUUUCUGUUAGCUCUCUCACUACAUCAUCUAACUGCUCAGUGAUUUUUACACACAAUACCUUUGUGAUUCAGGGAGCUUCACAGGGGACUGUGAUUGGGAAGGGUAACCGAGUAGGCAACCUCUAUGUGCUAGAAGCUUCUUCUCCAGUUCAGCUCACUCCAUCUUCACUCCUUUCUGCUUGUCAUGCAGUGUCAGCCGAUGUGUGGCACCAUAGACUAGGGCAUCUAUCUUUCAAUAAACUUCAAAUUUUGUCUAAAGUUUUGUCUAUUCCUUCUUGUAAACAGACUCUAUGUGAGAUCUGUCCUUUAGCCAAACAAAAACGUCUGUCCUUUCCUGAAUCACAUCAUGUAUCUAAGGAAGUAUUUGAUCUUAUUCAUUGUGACAUUUGGGGACCAUAUCAAACCCCCACUGUGCAAGGAUACACUUACUUUUUGACUAUAGUUGAUGAUUGUUCUCGUUUUGUUUGGACUUUUCUCAUGAAGUUUAAGUCGGAUGUCAAAGCCAUUCUUACCCAAUUUUUCAAUACUGUCGUCACUCAGUUUGGGAAGCGCAUAAAGAUCCUUAGGUGUGAUAAUGGCCCUGAGUUUGGGUUGGGGGAGUUAUAUGCACAACAUGGGACUUUAGUUCAUCACUCUUGUGUCUCUACACCUCAACAAAAUGCUCGUGUUGAAAGGAAACAUCAGCAUCUGUUAAAUGUCGCUCGUAGUCUUCUUUUUCAGUCACACUUACCUGUUUCUUUCUGGGGAGAUUGUGUACACACAGCUUCCUAUCUCAUAAAUCGUGUACCUUCUUCUGUUCUGCCACACAAUAGCACUCCUUUUGAGGUUUUGUUUGGGAAAUCUCCUUCCUAUAGUCAUCUUCGGGUCUUUGGGUGUUUAUGUUUCACCUCUACCCUUGACAGAAAUCGGUCUAAAUUCUCUCCACGAGCUACCAAAUGUGUGUUUUUGGGAUAUCCACCGGGGUACAAAGGCUAUAAAGUUCUUCACUUAGAUACACAACAAAUCUCCAUUAGUAGGGAUGUUGUUUUCCAUGAAACUAUCUUCCCUUAUUCUCACUUAUCUCCCUCUAUUUUUCCUGAACCUCAAUUUACUUUUCCCAUCGAGUCUAUUCCUCUCCCUACUCAGCCUUCUUCUCCUCCUUCACCUAUCAUGCAAGACUCACCUCCUGCCUCACCUCCCAAUUCUGCGCUUGUCAUUGAGCCAUCAUCCUCAUCCUCUUCUCCACAUGAUACUCCUCCUGCUCCUGUGGUCCCUACCACUAAAUCUGGUCGGGUCAUUAAGCCUCCAUCUCAUCUGAAUGACUAUGUGUGUAAUGCUGUCUUAGCUUCACCUUACCCACUCCAUAAGUAUAUCUCCUAUUCCCAAUUAUCUUCAGCCUAUUUUCGAUUAAUCUGCUCUUUAUCAUCUAUCCCUGAGCCUUCCUCAUAUCACCAGGCUGCUAAGUACUCUGAGUGGAGGAAAGCUAUGCAAGCUGAGCUAGAAGCUCUCAUCAAGAACAACACUUGGUUUAUUACAUUGUUACUUGCUGAUAAGAUCGCCAUUGGCUGUAAAUGGGUCUUUCGCACUAAGUUCUUUGCUGAUGGCACUUUAGACCGAUAUAAGGCUCGUCUUGUUGCCAAGGGUUACACCCAACAGGCUGGGAUUGACUUCUUCGAUACUUUUUCUCCGGUUGCGAAGUUAGUCACAGUCAAGGUACUCUUAUCUUUGGCUGCCGUUCAUGGCUGGGAUCUCUGUCAUCUAGACAUUAAUAAUGCUUUUCUUUAUGGUGAUCUUGAUGAGGAUAUCUACAUGGAGUUGCCUCCUGGCUUACUUGAUGCAGGGGGCCAUCCUUAUCCUCCUGGAUCCGUUUGUAAGUUGAAUAAAUCUUUAUAUGGCCUCAAGCAAGCCUCGCGGCAAUGGUAUUUGAAAUUCUCUCAAGCCUUGAGCAGUUUUGGUAUGGUACAGUCUGCUUGUGAUCACUCUUUCUUUUAUAAAAAGGAUGGUGAUAAAUUCUUGGGAUUGAUUGUGUAUGUAGAUGACAUUCUACUUGCUAGUAAUGAUGCUGCCUUGGUCACUUCUUUUAAAGAUUUCUUGGGCAAGACUUUCAAAUAUAAGGAUUUGGGAAAACCUUCAUAUUUUCUUGGUUUGGAGAUUGCUCGCAAUGACAACGGUAUAUAUCUAUGGCAACGAAAGUAUGUUCUUGAUUUGCUCAAAGAUGCAGGGUUAACAAACUGCAGACCAGCUAGUACUCCUAUGGAAUCUGGAAAGCAUUUGGCACUUGAAGAGGGACCUCCAUUAUCAGAUCCUACUAGUUACAGACGACUCAUUGGACGGUUGUUAUAUCUGUGCCUCACUCGACCAGAUAUCACCUUUGUUGUGCAUAAUCUGAGUCAAUUUGUAGCUAAGCCUUGUGAAGGGCAUAUGGAAGCAGCUGAAAGGGUUCUUAAAUUCUUAAAAGGCACAGCAGGCCAUGGCUUGUUCUUUAAUAAAAAUUCUUCCUUAAGCCUAUCUGCCUUUUCAGAUGCGGACUGGGGUAACUGCCCCACUACUAGAAGAUCUGUCACUGGGUUUGCGGUGUUUUUAGGUUCCUCCUUGAUCUCCUGGAAGUCUAAAAAGCAAACUACCAUCUCUCGAUCUUCAGCCGAAGCAAAGUAUAGGGCCAUGGCACAAGCAAGCUGCGAAGUUACGUGGAUUCGGAAUCUGCUACUUGAGUUCGGAGUUGAGCAAAGGAAUGCUUCGCCUUUGUAUUGUGAUAACCAAGCAGCAGUUUAUAUUUGCUGCAAUCCUGUGUUCCACGAACGUACCAAACACAUAGAGAUCGAUUGCCAUACAGUUCGAGACAAAUUUUUGCAAGGGGUGGUGAAACCUUUGCAUGUCAAGAACACACUCCAGCUCGCGGAUGUCUUAACUAAAGCACUAUCUGCGCCGGCUCUGCGUAGUAUCAUGGUCAAGAUGGGUUUUGGGAGCAUCUAUCUUCCAUCUUGAGGGGGCCUGUUGAGAAUAUUAGAAUAAGGGUCAUGCAUGCUGCAUGCACCCACUAUUAAAUAAGCCUAGCUGCAUCUAGAUUAGUUAUGCUGAGCUGGCACCAUGCGCGGUGCGUGUGUGUAUUUCCUUUCCGAUUGUACCUAGUAUAUAAGUGUUAGUUGUGUGAUGUAAUCCCUUGAUCAAUAUGAAACACACUUUAGUUUUGCUGCAAGCUCUCUUUUCUGUCAAACAUCAUACUGUAUUAUGGCAUCAACAGAAGCUUCGGCAGCUACGUCGCCGCCGGAUCUCUUCAAUUAGCAAACAGUAAACACAGAUCAUAUCAAACCACAUUUUAUAAGUGAUUCUUUGCAAAGUAAUGGAAGUAGGCUUGAUGUCUCCAAUCUCCAAACGGUUGAAAAUAGAGAGGGGCAUCAAAUUGAUGCUUGCCCCUAAAUCGUAAAGAGCACGGGAGAAAUUCUGUCCUCCAAUUACACAAGCGAUGGUGAAGCUGCCAAGAUCCUUCUGCUUCAAUGGUAGCCUUCUUUGUAGCACAGCACUGCAUUCUUCAAAAAGAUUGAUCGUCUCGCAUUUCCCCAAUGCAUCAAGUAAUGGAAUGUUGAUAUGAAGCUUUAAUAGCAUCUCCAUAAACUUGGUCAUCUUCUUGUCCAUCUUUGGCUUUGCCAAGCGACGUGGGAAAGGCGCUACAGGCUUGUACUAUGGCCUGGGAAACGUAGGAGUAGGAACAGACUUCUUAGCAGCAGCAGGAACGGGCGUGCUCGAACUCGCCUUAUGAGUAUGCGACUGAUCAGCUGCUAUCUUCUCCAAAUCAUCAUCCUCCUCCUCAAUCACUAUAUCUUUUCCUUUAUCUUGUUGCAACUCUGAAUGAUUAUGAUAUUCAGUUCCACUCCUCAAGUGAAUAGCAUUACACUGAUUUUUAGGAUUGAUCUCAGUGUUGCUACGAAAUUUGCCAUGCGUGUUCUGCGCAGCUGCGUCGUUGGCCAUCUGACAGUGCUAAAUAAUUAUUUCUCAGCUGACCCACUUGAGUCUCCAUACUGGUCAUCCUUGCAUUCACAGUUGUCUUCAUCCCAGACACCUCUGUCAAAAGCUGCUUCAUCAUAUCUUCUAAUGGCUCCUUCUUUUUCUCUUGGAUGACUCCCCCACUAGAAACUGAAAACCUCGGUGGAGGUUGCAAAGCAUUGUUCGGGUUUCUGUAAGAUAGAUUUGGAUGUAGGCGCCCUCCUGGCUGAAACUGUUGACCUAUAUUAUACACUAUUGGCUGUCCCUGCUGGAAAUUCUCAUAAUUUUUGCCAUUGAUAUAAUUACGUCUUCUACGCCUUACGUGUCUUUCACAACUUGCUCAGGAUUGCCAACAGCCAACACAUUUAUCUUCACAUUCAACUCUGCCAGAUGCGUAGCAAUCGCUGCCUGCUGUGUAACUAUCGCUGUCAUAGGAUCAGAGCUGGAAGCAGUUGCCACCUUCUUCAAUUGUACUAUCUCUGAUGGCCAUUGAUAGCUUGCAGCAGCCAUACUCACAAUGAUGCCCCACGCCUCAGAACUGCCUUUUCUGAGCAGAGAACCACCCGCAGCUAUAUUCAUAUGCAUUCUUGUACGUUCCCCGCAAGCAUUGUAGAACAUCACCAUAAUUGUACCUUCAUCAAAACCAUGUGAUGGUCACUUCCUUAGCUUUUCUUGAUACAUCUCCCAUGUUUCUGCCAGCGUUUCUCCCUCGAACUACUGGAACUGCACAAUAUCCAUCUUCAACUUUAGGGUGAGGCCAGGAAGAUGAAACUUACAUAGGAACGCUUGAGCCAAUCUUCCCACGUAGUAGUCUCUCCCAAUUGCAGCGUAUGAUACCACGACUUCGCCUUAUCCCGCAGUGAGAAAGGGAAAAGACGAAGACGGAUAAUGUCAUCGAGAACACCAUUCAUCUUCACCGUGCUGCAUAGCUCCAAAAAAUGUGUCAGAUGCGUAUUAGGAUCUUCAAUCGCAUGUCCUCCAUAUUGAUUAUGUUGGACCAUUGUGAUCAAACUAGUCUUCAGCUCGAAAUUAUUGACAUUGACUCGUGGAGGUUCCUGGUAGAUAUACUGCGGUAUGAAUGCCUCAUUAAUCGGGGGCUGCUUCUACUCCUCUAGCUUUUUUUGUGUAUCCAAAAACUGUUGCAGCUGCUCUUGUAGAGCACGAAUUUGUUCAGCAGUAGCCAUCAUAAGUAGUGUGCCUGAAAAUACGAGAAUAAAAAAAAUAAAAAUAAAAGGAAAGAAGAUUUAACUAAAACUAAAUUCAAAUAGCAGCAAAUAAAAUUCACAGAGAAAAAUCAAAUUAUCAAAACAACUGAUCCUAUGGUAGUAAUUUCAUUAACUAAAUCCACAUAAUAAAUCUAUUAAUCCUAUUUAACCAAUUUAAUCCAGUUAUGAUGAGAGAUCACUUAAUUAAUCAAUCACUUUCGCUAGAGCAACAACGAUCGUAGAUUAGUAAAUUCUCUAUCUCCGCUAGGUCUCAAGAAAAUCUACUAACUCCCAAUAGCUCCUAAUGUUGGGAACCUUGUGGAAUAUCCUAAUCCUUGUUUUAAUGAUACCAAAAUUUAUAUGUCUUAAUUGUAAUAGACUAGAACUGUUUUGAACUCAAGUGUUAGAGUUCGUUUCUAGUUUAGCCUGCGGAUCUGAAGACUGAAGAACGAAGGACUGAAGACUGAAGAUACCAACUGAAGUAUCAGUUGAAGAAUCAGUUUGAAACUGAUUACUUAAUGCGUG